GACGAACGCUGGCGGCGUGCUUAACACAUGCAAGUCGAACGGAAAGGCCCUGCUUUUGUGGGGUGCUCGAGUGGCGAACGGGUGAGUAACACGUGAGUAACCUGCCCUUGACUUUGGGAUAACUUCAGGAAACUGGGGCUAAUACCGGAUAGGAGCUCCUGCUGCAUGGUGGGGGUUGGAAAGUUUCGGCGGUUGGGGAUGGACUCGCGGCUUAUCAGCUUGUUGGUGGGGUAGUGGCUUACCAAGGCUUUGACGGGUAGCCGGCCUGAGAGGGUGACCGGGCACAGUGGGACUGAGAUACGGCCCAGACUCCUACGGGAGGCAGCAGUGGGGAAUAUUGCACAAUGGGCGGAAGCCUGAUGCAGCAACGCCGCGUGCGGGAUGACGGCCUUCGGGUUGGAAACCGCUUUCGCCUGUGACUAAGCGUGAGUGACGGUAAUGGGUAAAGAAGCACCGGCUAACUACGUG
rnacentral:rRNA from 1 species